rnacentral:hammerhead_ribozyme from 1 species
AUCCAGCUGACGAGUCCCAAAGAGGACGAAGCGCGCGUCCUGGAU